CGUGCGCGGUUCGUGUGUGGGCCCGCGGGGGCGCGCGCAGCUGGGGGGCAGUGAGGGUCGCCUCGGCGGCGAGCAGCACGGCGGGAACAUGGCGCCCGGAACUGGCGCGCGCGCCUAGCUGGCGGGACCGUUAGCUCGAGGCGGACGCAGCCCGGACCCGGUGGAUGUGGAGCAGUCGCCGCUGCCGGCGCCCAAGCCGACCCAAGGGCCGACCCCCGCAAGGAGCUGAAGGAGGUGGGAGCCCCAGUCGCUGCGGGCGUCGGCGCCGUCAAAGAAGAUGGCCACAGAGACAGCAGUGUGGUCAGAGUGGUAGGAGCUGGCCAUCGGCGAGAGCUGCUCCAUGUCUGGCUGCUGGGUGCUAGAGGCUGUGGCCCACUGGCUUGCCUCACUGUGGUUGGUGGUGGCGGUGACAGAGACUGCAGCACGACCACAGUGGCUUUUCUGGCUUUGCCCACCCAGCUGCUCCAUGCCAGGAGGAGGAGGAGACACCUAGAGCCUGCGACACCACGACUUGCCUCACUGCGGGUGGGUGGCAGCGACAGAGACUGCAGUGCGCCAGAGCGUUCUAGAGUGUAUGAAGAACCAAAUGAUGUAACUGUAUGCGACCUGGCUGUAGUGGAACAAAUUUGACUCUUAAGUAUGCAGGCUCUAAUUUUCCUGUCUGGUUUUGUCUAGGGAGAUGACUCAUCAGAAAAAGAAGAAAAAAGAGGCAUUUGGAAAUUGUGCAAAUUAAAGCAGCCCCUGAUGCCAAAGUCUACACAUUCCUGAGUGAGUCAGUUCUGGCCAGUUCUAGCUGGAUCAAGAGAGCUCUGCUGGGCAAGCCUGAAGAGCACCUGGAUGGCAGACACCUGAGGAGCCAGGUGCCUGAAACUUCCUCCACCUGCUUGAGGAGCGCUGAAGCCCAGGUGCUGGCUGGACAACCCCUUCUGGUUGCCUAAGCAGGUGGCAGGAGAAGGAAACAAGGUCAGAGGCAGAGUGUUGAACCCUGCCUCCCAGCCCCCACAUCACCCAACCAACCAGCAGAGAUCCUCAUUCCCAUGAAACAGAUAAAGAAACUGAGGCCCAGGGAGGCUAAGUCCUGCCAGGAUCAUUCACCUUCCAAGGUAAGGAGCCAGUUCCAGACCUGGGUUUGUGCAGCUCCAAGCUCCCCCGUCUUUCUACAAUGCUAGAUUUAGACUAUAGCAAUCUAGCAAGUGUGGCCACACAAUGGUCAAGUUGGAUUUAGAUGAUGUUCUCUAUAAAUCCAUUCUCCUCUCCCGUGUAAGCAAGGCAAAGCACUCUAGGCCAUGGGGAGUCCCUGAAGACUCGAUGAACUGCAGUGGCCACAUCAGGAGGUUGCAGGUUGACCAGAACUCACCGACACAGCAGGAGAGCAGCUUGGAACCUGCAACUCAGCCAAGACCCAGUGCCUUGGAUUGGGGGAGAAAACAUGCAGCCAUUCCUCUCUCUCUGUUGGCUAGAGGGGAUUCUGGCUUUUCCUGCCAGAGCCACCCCUUUCCCUCCUCCUAAAGUUGAUGGUGGUUCUUUAAGGAAAGGGAGAAGUGCACGGUGUGAUAGGGCAGGAAGAGAAGAAAACGGAGGAGAGGAGGGGACUUUCCCAUAAGCAGGCAGAAGAAAAGGCAGCUGUGGUGUGUGAUGGACAUGGAAGCAGUGGUGUCCAAUGUGAGGUCAGCCCUAGAGGAGAGACAGAGAGAGAGACAGAAAAGUGAGAGAGUCCUGACCCUUACGAUUAACAUGGGAUCUGCCUGCAAAUGCUGUUUAGGGCCAUCGCCUCUUCCUGUACUGCUAUUUUUUAGAGUGAUGCUCCUGAGCCCCAUGACCCAGUCAAAUUUGAUGACCCCUUCAGCCAGAUUCAGUGCUGGGAGUCCAGUGUGAUCUGCCUGGAUCUUGCUGCAUUGAGAACAGGCCAGAUCUUGACACCAACACAGGGGCUGGAUAUGAACAGGCAACAGCUGGGUUUCUGAGUCAGAAAGACUUGGUUAAUUGCUAAUUGCUUAGGCGAGUAAUUCAAUUUUGUUCAGUCAGGUUCCUCAGCUAUAAAAUGCAGAUGACAGUACUUAUUCCUCCAGGUUGUGGGGAAAAUGGAGAUUCUGAGCACGAUGUCCAUUUCACAGAAAGGUACCAAUUUGGUGGCUUAUUUUCCUUUCUACCUUCAGAAGUGGCUAUCCCUGCCACCCAAACAGACCCUCGACUCUCAAGUGGAUGGGGUCCCAUUUGCACAGGGGGAGAGCUAACAGCCUACGUUGAGUCUAUACUUACCACUUAGUGAGCAUGGUAUCCACUCAGGGGCCUCUGUGGGCAUCCGUCUCCUCUGCGGCAUCUUUCCUCCCCACCGCUGGGCCUGCACAUGACCCCCUCCUUGGGUUAGGCCUCUGAUCAGUGAUGACCUUGGUAUGGUGGUGAUGGUCAUUCUUGGCACCAAAUGAGCCAGUUAUAUCAUCAGCUAUUCAAUAAAACACUAAUCUAGGUGUCACCAUGAAAGUAUUUUGUGACAUUGUUAUGUACGUGUUGUUACAAAUGUGCAUGAUGCAUUUACUACAGCAUAGAAUUUUGCCUGGGUGCCAGCCUGAAG